rnacentral:tRNA from 1 species
GCCGAAGUGGCGGAACCGGUAGACGCGCACGACUCAAAAUCGUGUACCUUUUGGUGUGAGGGUUCGACCCCCUCCUUCGGCA